GACAGAGGGUGCAAACGUUGUUCGGAAUUACUGGGCGUAAAGCGCGUGUAGGUGGCGAGGCAAGUCGGGUGUGAAAGCCCUGGGCUCAACCCAGGAAGUGCACUCGAUACUGCCUAGCUAGAGUCCCGGAGAGGUUGGUGGAACUCUCGGUGUAGAGGUGAAAUUCGUAGAUAUCGAGAAGAACACCGGUGGCGAAGGCGGCCAACUGGACGGUGACUGACACUGAGACGCGGAAAGCGUGGGGAGCGAACGAGG
rnacentral:rRNA from 1 species